rnacentral:tRNA from 1 species
GCCUGACUAGCUCAGUCAGUAGAAUAUGUGACUCUUGAUCUCGGGAUUGUGAGUUCAAGCCCCAUGUUAGGUG